UGGUGCUUCGUUGGACAGGAAGUAGCUCCCAUCGGUGCUUCGUUGGACAGGAAGUAGCUCCCCCAUAGGUGCUUUGUCCGAGCUGCCUAUAGGAUCUUGCAGAAAUACUCCGGCUGUUGGAACACUGGAGUGGAUUGAUGUGAACUAUGAAGAAGCCUACAGUACCGGAGAAUCGAGAGGGUCUGGAUGCAAUGGAUAUUAAGAUGCCUGGGUGCAGGUCCAGAUGCUUUCGGUGGUGUCUGAGCGCCCAGCCUGUCCUCAGUACGGAAGGAGAAAUCUGUCAAAUUCAAAAGUUCCUCGCAACAAGGCUGAGUCCCUCCCUCUUCUCCGAAGAUGCCAACCAUCUUGCAGAGAAAUCAAGUGGCACUAACUGUGUUUACUUCCUCCUGAACCAAGGUCUUCAGCUCUGUGUUCAAGGAGAAUUUCUAUCAUCUCCCUACUCCCAGCUCAACAGACAGGGCCACGUGCUAUGUAAUUUUCUAAGCACAUUACACAGAUAAUCUAAUUUACCUUAAUAAAACCCCUGUAAGAACUCUUGGUUUAUUAGUGGGUGCUGAGAGGAAAUGGGGGCAAGGAACAAAUGUCCUCAAAGGAACACAGCUCUGCUUCCUUACGUUU
rnacentral:lncRNA from 1 species